AGCUAACGUUGGCGUCAUGCCUAACACAUGUAUUUCUAAUGAAUUCUUUGGAGUUUGUGUCCUCUUGGCGUGUAACCUGUCGGAAUGUGUCUCUUGGAUCGGCAUUUCUCAGGGAAACUUGUUCUAUCUUUGAAUGUGCCCUUUGGGCGUACUAUUUUUCGUCACUACUUCGACCCGAGUCUGAUUAGCUAGUCGUUGAGGUAACGGCUCACCAAUGCUACUAUCAGUAGCUGGUCUGUGAGGAUGACCAGCCACACCGGGACUGAGUCACCGCCCAGACUCCUACGGGAGGCAGCAGUGGGGAAUCUUGCGCAAUGGGCGAAAGCCUGACGCAGCCAUGCCGCGUGAAUGAUGAAGGUCUUAGGAUUGUAAAAUUCUUUCACCGGGGACGAUAAUGACGGUACCCGGAGAAGAAGCCCCGGCUAACUUCGUG
rnacentral:rRNA from 1 species